rnacentral:rRNA from 1 species
UGGGGAAUAUUGCGCAAUGGGCGAAAGCCUGACGCAGCGACGCCGCGUGAGGGAGGAAGGCCCUAUGGGUCGUAAACCUCUUUUGUCAGGGAACAAAAGCGAGUAUGUAUACUAGUCUGAGUGUACCUGAAGAAAAAGCAUCGGCUAACUCCGUGCCAGCAGCCGCGGUAAUACGGAGGAUGCGAGCGUUAUCCGGAUUUAUUGGGUUUAAAGGGUGCGUAGGCGGCGGUGCAAGUCAGCGGUAAAAGCCCGGGGCUCAACCCCGGCGAGCCGUUGAAACUGCAGUGCUAGAGAAGGCGAGAGGUACGCGGAAUGCGCAGUGUAGCGGUGAAAUGCUUAGAUAUUGCGCAGAACUCCGAUUGCGAAGGCAGCGUACUGGCGCCUGACUGACGCUGAGGCACGAAAGCGUGGGGACCGAACAGGAUUAGAUACC